UCCACCAGUAGACUUGGCGCCCGUUGGAGGUC
rnacentral:sRNA from 1 species